UACAGAGGGUGCAAGCGUUGUUCGGAAUUAUUGGGCGUAAAGGGUGCGUAGGCGGUGCGGUAAGUCUGUAGUGAAAUCUCUGGGCUCAACUCAGAGUCUGCUAUAGAAACUGCCGUGCUUGAGUGUGGGAGAGGUGAGUGGAAUUCCCGGUGUAGCGGUGAAAUGCGUAGAUAUUGGGAAGAACACCGGUGGCGAAGGCGGCUAUCUGGACGACAACUGACGCUGAGGCGCGAAAGCGUGGGGAUCAAACAGG
rnacentral:rRNA from 1 species